rnacentral:rRNA from 1 species
AAUAGAUACCCGGGUAGUCCACGCCGUAAACGAUGAGUGCUAAGUGUUAGAGGGUUUCCGCCCUUUAGUGCUGCAGCUAACGCAUUAAGCACUCCGCCUGGGGAGUACGGUCGCAAGACUGAAACUCAAAGGAAUUGACGGGGGCCCGCACAAGCGGUGGAGCAUGUGGUUUAAUUCGAAGCAACGCGAAGAACCUUACCAGGUCUUGACAUCCUCUGACAACUCUAGAGAUAGAGCGUUCCCCUUCGGGGGACAGAGUGACAGGUGGUGCAUGGUUGUCGUCAGCUCGUGUCGUGAGAUGUUGGGUUAAGUCCCGCAACGAGCGCAACCCUUGAUCUUAGUUGCCAGCAUUUAGUUGGGCACUCUAAGGUGACUGCCGGUGACAAACCGGAGGAAGGUGGGGAUGACGUCAAAUCAUCAUGCCCCUUAUGACCUGGGCUACACACGUGCUACAAUGGAUGGUACAAAGGGCUGCAAGACCGCGAGGUCAAGCCAAUCCCAUAAAACCAUUCUCAGUUCGGAUUGU